CCAAUAGCGUAUAUUAAAGUUGUUGCAGUUAAAAAGCUCGUAGUUGAAUUUCGGGAUCAAUACGUCGGUCGUGCUUUCGGGUACGUACUGGCGUCAUUGGUUUCUCCUUUCUGACGAACCAUGAUGUCAUUAAUUUGGUGUUAUGGGGAGUUAGGACUGUUACUUUGAAAAAAUUAGAGUGUUUAAGGCAGGCAUUAGCUUGAAUACAUUAGCAUGGAAUAAUGAAAUAGGACGUUCGAUCCUAUUUUGUUGGUUUCUAGGAUCAACGUAAUGAUUAAUAGGGAUAGUUGGGGGCAUUAGUAUUCAAUUGUCAGAGGUGAAAUUCUUGGAUUUAUUGAAGACUAACUACUGCGAAAGCAUUUGCCAAGGAUGUUUUCAUUAAUCAAGAACGAAAGUUAGGGGAUCGAAGACGAUCAGAUACCGUCGUAGUCUUAACCAUAAACUAUGCCGACUAGGGAUCGGAUGAUGUUAAUUUUUUAAUGACUCAUUCGGCGCCUUACG
rnacentral:rRNA from 1 species